UAGCCUUGACAUAGUAAGAAUUUAAUAGAGAUAUAAAAGUGCUGCUUGCAGAACUUACAUAC
rnacentral:rRNA from 1 species